UGAUCAGAAUGGUGUACAUAAAUGUCAGU
rnacentral:piRNA from 1 species